CAUUGGUCCAUCUGUCCUUCACUCUGGGAGAAGUUCGGAGCGCUAGGCUCAGGAACUCUGAUUUGAAUUUGUGGCGCGGACAGUUCACGAGGUGACAAUGGUUCUGGCCGUCUUGCGGGAGCCAACAAACUCGGUGGUGGUAUUAUUCCCACUUUACAAAUGAGGAACCUGAAGAUCAGACAGAAAGUCUCUUAAUGGAAGAAUUUCAGUUUCCUGGAAGAUUGUAAAAGGCACCUGGAAUAGUUCUUUGCUCAAAAGGAGAGAAAGUUUUUGGGAAGAUUGAAUUAUGAAGUUGUCUUCAUAAUGGUAGAAAGUAGUGGAACAAAACAAUGAAUACGUUGUUCAAUAAAGUUCUUGGUGAAAACAAAAAA